rnacentral:rRNA from 1 species
AUUGAACGCUGGCGGCAGGCCUAACACAUGCAAGUCGAACGAGUGGCGGACGGGUGAGUAAUGUCUGGGAAACUGCCCGAUGGAGGGGGAUCACUACUGGAAACAGUAGCUAAUACCGCAUACCAUCGGAUGUGCCCAGAUGGGAUUCGCUAGUAGGUGGGGUAACGGCUCACCGAGGCGAGGAUCCCUAGCUGGUCUGAGAGGAUGACCAGUCACACUGGAACUGAGACACGGUCCAGACUCCUAAGGGAGGCAGCAGUGGGGAAUAUUGCACAAUGGGCGCAAGCCUGAUGCAGCCAUGCCGCGUGUAUGAAGAAGGCCUUCGGGUUGUAAAGUACUUUCAGCGGGGAGGCGUUACUCGCAGAAGAAGCACCGGCUAACUCCGUGCCAGCCGCCGCGGUAAUUC